rnacentral:rRNA from 1 species
AUUGAACGCUGGCGGCAUGCCUUACACAUGCAAGUCGAACGGCAGCACGGGAGCAAUCCUGGUGGCGAGUGGCGAACGGGUGAGUAAUAUAUCGGAACGUGCCCGGUCGUGGGGGAUAACGUAGCGAAAGCUACGCUAAUACCGCAUACGAUCUACGGAUGAAAGCGGGGGGAUCGCAAGACCUCGCGCGAUUGGAGCGGCCGAUAUCAGAUUAGCUAGUUGGUGGGGUAAAGGCCCACCAAGGCGACGAUCUGUAGCUGGUCUGAGAGGACGACCAGCCACACUGGAACUGAGACACGGUCCAGACUCCUACGGGAGGCAGCAGUGGGGAAUUUUUGGACAAUGGGCGCAAGACCUGAUCCAGCAAUGCCGCGUGCAGGAUGAAGGCC